GUUCCAAUGGCUCAGCGGGUUAGAGCAUGACGCUGGCAACACUAUGUGGGUUUGAUUCCCACAUGGGCCA
rnacentral:tRNA from 1 species